UACGUAGGGUGCAAGCGUUGUCCGGAUUUAUUGGGUUUAAAGGGUGCGUAGGCGGCCUUGUAAGUCAGUGGUGAAAUACUCCAGCUUAACUGGAGGGGUGCCAUUGAUACUGCAGGGCUUGAGUUAAGUUGAAGUUGGCGGAAUUGACGGUGUAGCGGUGAAAUGCUUAGAUAUCGUCAAGAACACCGAUAGCGAAGGCAGCCCGCCAGGCAACAACUGACGCUGAGGCACGAAAGUGCGGGGAUCAAACAGG
rnacentral:rRNA from 1 species